rnacentral:snoRNA from 1 species
GCAUGUUCAGAUUUGAGACCUGACCCACAUUUAUGGUCUGGCCUCAGUGUACGGCAUGCUAGAUCAACUUUAGACUCCGAACCAUUGGCUGGUCCUCCUUAGUGGGCUAGAUCACUGAAGAGAGUCAGACAGCA